rnacentral:rRNA from 1 species
AUCGAACGCUGGCGGCAGGCCUAACACAUGCAAGUCGAACGGAGUGUCGGACGGGUGAGUAAUGCCUACGAAUCUGCCUGGUAGUGGGGGAUACCGUCCGGCUCCUGGAGAUAAUACCGCAUACUACCCUAUGGGCCCUGGUGGGAUUAUCUAGUUGGUGGGGUAAAGGCCUACCAAGGCGACGAUCCUUAACUGGUCUUAGAGGAUGAUCAGCCACACUGGAACUGAGACACGGUCAAGACUCCUACGGGAGGCAGCAGUGGGGAAUAUUGGACAAUGGGCGAAAGCCUGAUCCAGCCAUGCCGCGGGUGUGAAGAAGGUCUUCGGAUGGUAAAGCACGUUAAUUUGGGAGGCGGGACCAAAAGAAUAAACAACGGCUAACUUCGUGCCAGCAGCCGCGGUAAUAA